rnacentral:lncRNA from 1 species
CAAUGGGCAGACACAGAGCAGAAAGUGGCGGACUUGGGCGGCCACAGGCAGGCAUCAACAUUUACAUUGUAAUUCAAUAGACGCUACUACUACAAAGGAGCUUUAUUCUUCCAGCUUAAUAUGGUUGCUGCGGGAACACUGCAGGAUGAAACUGACUUUUUUUGUGGUAAUGUUUCUCCUGGUUGGGAACAACGCAAAUUAGCAAAGGCGUAAUUUAUAACCGCUGCUACCAAAGAGUGAAGUAUUUGUGGAAGUUCUGACUGGAAUCUAGCUCGUACAUAUGGAUUGUGGAAAUAAAGGAGGACGUGGAAAGCUUGCCAUAUUUUAUUUCAAGUUAAUACUAAAGCUGCCAGACUUAAUACAACUUUCUUUUAAUCUUUAUGGAUCACAUAUUUUCUGAAAAUUACAUGAUAAAACAAGGUUUGGUUUGUUCCAUGUGUCCAUUUUCAACAAUAAAUUUCAAAAUUGUAUUUUUAAAAAACAAUAUAAACACACACUUUAAAGAAAUAAUAUAUUUUAAGACAAUGCAGGUACUAUUUUAAUAUAAUAUUUUAAGAUAAUGCAAUACCUAUCAUGUUCCUCUCCUUUUUAGAGGCAGCCAUAUUCUGCUUUUAUCUGUCUCUUCUGUCAUUUACCUCCCUAUUUCUAAAUAAUUUGUACUGCCAUCUCUUGAUUUGCCAAUAGAUGUUGUGCUCUGACUACCUGUUGCUUCAGAUUAGGAUUUAGCUCUUUCAUGCCAAGCAACUUCUCCUUCCAACACAGCACUUUCACAGUUUAGGAGCUAAGUAAGUGACUAUGCCAAUAGCAAUGACAACACAGCCAAUAGUGUACUAUUCUUGUUUUCUUCCUUAUAAAACCUUGUAUCUAUUUACUUAGUUUGUUAUGCCCCAUCCUGAUAUUUUUCUACAACUGAUCUAUCAAAUGACUAUCAUGUUUAUUUUCCAAAUGAUCAAACAAUCAAUUCCAAUUUUGCCCUGAA